UACUAAUGUAAUUUUUUUAAAGCUAAAGUGGUCAAAUCAUAAAAAAAAAAAAUCAAUUAAUAUUAUAAUUGUUAUAACAAUCAAAUGUUGUCCAUCAGCCUCAGGAACAUGUCUUAACAAUGUUUACCAGUUCUAAUAAAUAAUCUAUUAAUCAUCAUAUAAACUUCAAAACUUUUGAUAACAGAUUUAAUUUUCUUUACAACCAUGGCCAAUAUUUUUCCCUUUUGUUUAUUGAUUAAAAUUUUUCUUCCAUAAUUAUUAAAAGUUUUUUAUUGCAAAAAAAAAAGGUUAAUAAUGGUUUCUAACAUAAAUAUAAGGCCACAAUUUUUGUGGGGAUGGGCAAGGUCAAUUAAAUUGACCUCUGGCAUUGGACCGGUACAUAUUUUAUCAACCCACUUUCCAAAAGGACAUGAAGUGGAUUUCAAACAAAGAACAUAAAAGAAUGUUGCUAAAAAAAAAAACGAGGGAUGAGGCACGUUUUGUCUGCACCUAUAUCAGUGGUUAGAGCAUCAGGCUCACAAUCAUGAGAUUGUGAGUUCAAUUCCUGGACCAGGCUGUGUGUUGUGUUCUUGAGCAAGAUGCUUUAUUUCACAUUGCUCCAGUGCACUGUAGAAAUGAGUUGCAAUGUCAUUGGUACCAAGUUGUAUUGGCUUUUGCUUUUCCUUAGACAACAUUGGUGGCAUGGUGAGGGGAAACUGCUAUGCAUGGGUGACUGCUGGUCUUCCACAAACAACCUCACCUGGACUUGUGCCUUGGAGGGUAACUUUCUAGGUGUAAUCCCAUAGUCAUUCAUGAUUGUAGGGGUUUCUUUACCCUUUUUUUUAAUAUCCAGUUAUCCAUUCAUUGCUCUUGCAUUAAUGAAAUAAUUGCAUUUAAAUGAGCUGUGUAUGUUAAAAUUCUUAGUCAUUUCAUUAUUUUUAGCUUUUAUUUCUUUUUCUUUUAUGUUUUAUUUGCUUUAAUCAAUGGACUGCAGCCAUGUUGGAGUACUGCAUUCAUUAAAAAAAAAACC